AUGGCCUCCAUGACCACACCUCGGCUCCCCUUCCUCCCCGCCCGAACCCGCUCCGCCGUCGCCGCCUCCUCCUCUUCGUCCCCCUCCUCCCCGCUACCACGCCUCUCCAUCAAAUGCAGCAGCUCCGCCAACGCUAACUCGGCCCCCCUCCCUUCUACAUCGCGGCAGCCCCGGGCGCCCGUGGCGGACGGCGUAGGGUCCGCCGACCUCAACGGCCUCCGGGCCCCGCCUAUACCUGUCGCCGACUCCCCUCUGCCCGCGUACCGCGAUCCGCACGGGCUGCCUCGGCCUCUCACUAGUGCGGAUCUAAUGGAGUCGAGCGGGGAGGGGCUCAAGGUUGCCUACCAGGGCUUCCCUGGAGCGUACAGCGAGGCUGCAGCAAAGAAGGCCUAUCCAAAUUGCCAGACAGUGCCCUGCGAGCACUUUGAUACUGCAUUUCAGGCUGUUCAAAACUGGAUAGUUGAUAGGGCGGUACUGCCACUUGAGAAUACUCUGGGUGGUAGUAUACAUCGGAACUAUGACCUUUUACUUCGGCAUGAACUGCACAUAGUUGGAGAGGUUCGCCUUGCAGUUCGGCAUUGCUUGUUAGCCAAUCGUGGAGUGAAGAUCGGGAACCUAAGAAAUGUCAUUAGUCAUCCCCAGGCUCUUGCGCAAUGUGAGCAUACGCUGACAGAGUUAGGAAUUGAACAUAGACAGGCCGUUGAUGACACUGCUGGUGCAGCAAAGUUAGUCGCAGAACAAAUGCUCCAAGACACUGGUGCUGUUGCCAGUUCAUUAGCUGCUGAACUUUAUGGACUCGAUAUUCUUGCUGAAAAUAUUCAGGACGAAAAAGUCAAUGUCACCCGUUUUAUGAUGCUUGCUCGGGAACCUAUUAUACCCCGGGUUGAUAAGCCAUUCAAGACUAGUAUUGUGUUUUCACUUGAAGAAGGACCUGGACAGCUCUUCAAGGCACUUGCAGUUUUUGCACUGAGGGAAAUCAACCUCACCAAGAUAGAAAGCCGUCCACACAAGAAAAGGCCUUUUCGUGUAGCUGAUGAUGCUUUCUCCACGCGAGUCAAGUACUUCGACUACCUGUUUUAUGUCGAUCUUGAGGCGUCUAUGGCUGAUCCAAAAACUCAGAAUGCUCUCAGAAAUUUGGAGGAGUUUGCAACCUUUUUAAGAGUCCUGGGGAGCUAUCCUACAGACGUGAGCGAAGCUUGA
rnacentral:rRNA from 1 species